GACACAGCAUACACGAGGGCCUGUUCCCAGCUUUGGGGAGGGGACGGAGUGGGGGUGACGUCAGGGUGUCUCAAUGGGGCUCUGUUCCCCAGGCCUUGGAGCCAGGAGCCAGGCACCGGCAAGGAGACCAUGUGUGUGUUGUAUACGGGUCCACGUGCUUAAAUCACGGAAACACCAGCUCUGCAGCAAGAAAGCUUGAGAGUACAGGAGCUCUCCGGCAUGGGGGUCCAGUGAGGUUGGAAAAAAGCAGCUGCAACCGAGAGAAGGGCUGGCUCCAGAAACACAGACAGGGUGUAGAGGCAGACCUCGAUGGCGCCAGAGCCGGGAAGAAAACAGGAAGUGGGAAACAGCCACGGCGGAGUAGAGAAGCGCCGGGAUGGAGGAUCGGAUGGAAGGGCGCGCAGUGGCCGGCAGUCGGAGAGACAGACCGACCUGGAGGCGUUCUGGUCCCCCGCCUUCCCCUGAGAAGCUACACGCGACCAGGACCCCAGGCAGGGUUGCACUGGCCCUACAGGUCCCGUCAAGCCAAGGCCCGUAACACCGAGGGAAGACAAGGCGGGGUUGUCUGGGCGCCUUGGUCCCCUCCCCGGGCGAGGCGAGGCUCCGGCUGCCCCCAGGGCCCGGCAGCCCGUGAGCCUGUGGGAGUCGGGGAGUAAGUGGGACGCACGUGACUGACCCUACGGCACAGCGCACCCCUGCCCCACCCCCGCCCCCUCCUCGGCCCCAAUCCCCUGGCGCCGGAGCCCCACUCCGAGCCCUUUAAGAGCCGCCCCCACCCGCCGAGCAGGGAGGUGGGGUGGGUGGGCCGGUCAGGGCACACACCCGCACAUAGGAGCCCGAGCCGCGGCCGCCGCCGGGGGAAGGAAACAAGUUUGAACAGCGGCGCCCGGCCCCCUUCCCCCCCUCCCUCGUCCCCGCCCCGGGCCGGAUUCCGACGGGGCAGACGGGCAGGGGGCGGCGAGGCCCCCUCCACCACCACCACCACCCCCCCCGCGCGCCCGGGCGCAAAGUCCAGCCUGUGCAAGCCCGGGGGCGGCGGGGGAGGGGAAGGGGGAAAAGUCCGAGUGGGAGGGGGGUUAAUCCUGCUGCCCCCCGCCCAGCGAACGGGGGGGGGAGGGGAACCCUGGCCCCUUAAGGAGGAGCAACUUGGCGGGGAAGAGAGGGGCGGAGGAAAAGACGGCCCGCUGAAAGAGAGGAGCAGGAUCGAGGAGGGGGAAGGACGACGAGGGAGCCUCUGCAUUCUCCCCCCCCACACCCCAAUCUUUCCCACCCUUCUCAACUCCCGGCCUCCGCCCGCGCCGGAGGAGGGUACCCAGGUCUCCCCUGAGCCACCUUAAAGCGGCGCGUUCUAAGGUCGGAAACAAAAAGUUCCUUUUUCGAACGUU